GGUCUCGGUUUUUGGAGGACACAGCCUCCUUUUUAUCCUAAUCUCCCAGCCGCAUGUCCCUCUCUCUUUCCCCAUUGGCUGAGGAACUUGAGAGGUACAGAUUUCCCAGAAUGCCUGAUACCUAAGAUUCCCCUCUAAUGUAUAACCCUCCCUCUUGAUUUCUAAUUCUUAUGGAAUUUGUGGUGUUUCCCCAUUGUCUCUUUUAUCUUUCAAUACGCAGUUUCAUUUACCAGCAUACCUACAUGUUAAACCUUAAAUGUUUGUAAAGGCAAAUGUCUUUUUCCAUUCAUCAAUCAGUGGAAUCCAUCCCAUUCUUUCUUUUAUCUCUCAGUGCUAGUUUCAUCUGUCAGCAGACCCACAGCUUGUUUGUAAAGACAAAUCAGUCAUUCCUCUCACUGCUCAACAUCUCUUGCUGAGCAGGUUUUGCAGGAGGCCUUCAAAAAGUUUAUCUGCAUAGGUAAAAUGGAAGAAUUAGGACCUAGAUCUGUAUUGUUUUUCAGGGGCAUUGUGAUGAAGUAUUCAUUUUUCAAACAGGACUAUCCCAAUGCUCCUUAAAUAUAUAAAAAAUACAUAUGGUAAAACAUAAUUCUGCCGCCCUCAAAAUAUUUAUUUUUUUUCUGAGUAGAUGUACUGACUUCUUUAUGAACAAAAAUCUCAGUAAUUUGGUCUAUGAUGGAUGAUGUUUAAGUAUUUCUAAAAAGGCUAGAUAUGUUAUUAAGAUGGAGCAUUUUCCUUAUUCAUAUAAAAUGGAAAAUGCCACACAACUUAAUUCUUUGAAAGCUUAUUAAUAUUUCUCAAAUUAAAGUACUUCAGUGAAGUUCUGGCUUGGUUUUAAUUGCCUGGUCCUUUUUCUUCAGAAGGUGAAAAUUUGCCUUUGUGGGGCUAUAGGACUUAGCAAGCAAUUAGUGAAUAAUGUUUCCAAAAGAUGCUUUCAUUCUUUGAUGGCAAGAAAUAUUAAGCUCUUUGAACAGAAAUGGUGACUUACUGGCUCCAACUGAUUUGCAGAGUCACACCAGCAUUUUUUUGUAGAGCUCUUUGUCACACCAAGCCAUGACAUUAUUGGUCUGGCUUAAGAAAAUUAACACUGUAAGUGCAAAGACCUGGUCUAAGAAUUCGAGGAUUUGCCCUGAGCAAAGCACAUGGUGCUUUUUGUGAAAUAACAAAUCAAUAAACACCUGUUGCUGAGGCAGGAGCAACCCAAAUUACGUAAAUUAAAAGGCCAGGAGACCUUCUGCUCCCUUUAAUAAGCCUUUAUUAGGAAGAACUAAGCCUAGAGGUGGGGGCUCGGGGUGCAUGCCACCGCCGCCGCUGCUCCCCAUGGUCGAUGUGUAGGAGGAAGACCACACAGGCCUGUCAUCAUCCACUGUCAGCAGGACUGGAGUCUCUAUCCUCACUGGGACCACCCAGAAACUCUGUUUCAGGCAUGAAAAUCCAGGGUGUCUUCCCUCAAGUCCUGCCAGGUCAUGGCGACGAGCUUGCCGGACUGACAUUGGCGCACCCAGUCUCCCCAGGUUCCUGCUGCCUCCACAGUGUGGUCCUCCAGAUGUUCCUCAAGAGUGGCUCAUUGUCCAGGGCUGUCUUCGCUCCCAGACUGCAUCAUACAGUAGAGACCUUCAUGGAGAUUUUACUUUGAAAAUGGAGCAGCAUCCUGGCAGCAAAAGGAUGAAAGCCUUUGAAGAGCUCUUCUGAGGAUAGAAAGCCCAUGAUCUCCUUCAGGCUGCAAUUUUAUUCAUUGCUAUUUCCCAGAUAUUUUUUUCUAGCACUCACCAAGAUAAAUUUCAAUUUUAAAAAAGAGUCCCAGUGAAAGAGAUAUAUUAAAGAUAUGUAACGCAGCUGUCAUUAAAGCACUUUGUAUAAAUAUAUACCAAUAAUAUAUACCUUGGUGUAAAGCAAAAAUAUACAAAACAAAUACCUUUAUAUUGGAGGCUUAAUUUUAUUCAGGUGCACGGAAAUAUGCAACAAAUCCAGUUACGCAAGCUUAGCAAAACCUCAACUCUCAUGCAGUAAAUGGUCUCUGAAGAUGAGGUAACCUUUUGGGCCACUUGUUUAUAUAAUGCCUUUCCCAUGUGUGAAGGAUGUUCAUCUCUACCUCUGGUAAGAUAGUACUUAAUGAUUAUAACAGUAAUUCUGUCAAUGUUUUGAAGACAAAUUAUGGAUAACAUAUCACCUAGAGUGAUGCCUAUUUUGCAUACCUGAAACCACUGAAAAUGGUUUCUAAUUGUUUCAGAACAGAAAAUGUUUAUUGUAUCUCUCAUCUAUUUGUGUGCUGCUAUCCUACAUAUAUACUGUCCUUUGAAUCUUCAAACAUGACAUGGCUGAACAUAUGUAUGAGUGAUCACUGGUGCCUCAAUGCAGGUAAUCCAGUUGUCAUUAUUUUGAAUGGGACAGUUCAAAUAACUGUCCUUGGGAAAUUGUUUACAUUUUUCCUAUGGUUUUUUGUGUGUCUUUAAAUAAUGCCCUUUUGGCUCUGGGAUACCUACAUAGAUAUCUCUGAAGGGUUGGGAUUUUUUCCUGUACUUACCUUUUAUUUGCUUGCUUGUUCUGAGAAAAAAAAGUCAGAUGUAAUAAUGAAAGACUUGCAAAAAAAGUGGAGUUGAAUUAGAACUUAUAUUCCAUCCUUAGAUUGUCUCCUAAGAAUUUGGUAUAGGAAAACAGUGGAUUUGCAUUCAUUGUUGGUUCUUAAUUGUAUUAAUCAGUGACUGAGGGUAGAUCCCUACUAAAUUAGGGAUUUAAUAGCUCACUACCAAAUUCUGACAUACUGUGCUGAAACACUUGAUGACUAAGCUGCAGAUACCAUCUCUAGUGAGAUGCAUUAUUCCAGAUGUUCAUUUCUCUUAGUGCAAAUAUACUUUUUUUUUACAGAAGCAGAGGUACCUGUAAACAAAAAUGUUUUAAGUCUAUCAGUAGUCCUUUUUGCUCUGGAGGGUUGUGCAGAUGUUAUAUUACACGCAUUUAAGAUAAUUCCCCUACUCUUUCAAGAUUAAACUACAGAAUAUUCACAGAUUUUAGAAAACAAACUCAGGCACACUGAAAAGAGGGGAAAUAAGGUAAUUCUUUGCUACAAUUCUUGAAAGAAAAAUAGCCAUAAUAGAGACAUAAGAAGAUAAACACAGAACAGUAAUGAUUUCAAAUAGUCCUUUGCAUAUAUGAUCUUAAUUGACUAUACGUAUAACUGAUUGUUUUCCUAGAACAAGGCAAAAUCUGCUAACAAAGUCUACUGAAAAAACAAUAGUUGUUUAACUUUUCGAAUUUGUUUAUUUUAUGCUAACCUGGGUUUUUAGAGGUAACUGCAUUCAGAAUCACAUGAACAAAGGUAAUUCUUCAAUCCAGAGGAAAUCAUGCUGUGACAGCUGAAUAUGCAUAUUUUAUUUAGAAGUGUGGGAAAAUAAGCCCUUGAAAAACAUUUGUCAAUGUUUUUCAUUGUCAACAUUUAGCUGUGAUUUAUCUUGGGUAAAUUUGCCUGUGUUGUGCCAGGCUUAAAGCACCUUUUUAUGGGUUGAGUCAUGCAUCCACACCUUUUGAAAAUCCAGGUAGUUCAAUUUGUCAUGGUUUAACUUAUAGUGGGUUCCUUACAAGCUAAUUAUUAGACACUGUGCAAAAUAUUACAAAUUUAGUAUUCUGGACAAGGAUGCAGCCUAAAAUGAACAUUGAGGGAGAUUAUUCAGGCAUUAAUGUACAACAUGACCAAAACUGUGCCACAUAAUUAUCCAUUCAAAAUUAAUGAAAAAGAAUGAAGUUAUGACUCUGGUAAGAGAGGCAGAGAAAAAAAUGAAAUAGAUCUGUUUAAUAUUUACUUAUUACUUUAUACUUAUUGUUAGGAGUAUUAAAAUGCUAACUGAGCCUUGCAAAAGCAGUGUCAAGAAGAUAAAAGAAAUUUUUGUCCCCAUUUUCUACCAUGUCCCACAGAAUCUUCAUUAAAUUCUUCAUUUCUCUAAGACUAAAAAUAAAGAUACCCAGUUGCGGAUAUAGAAUGAAUUUAACAAUCUGCCAAAUUCACCAUACUGUUGCACAUUUAUUGAACUAUCAGUCAAAAAUACCCUGAAUUUUAGGAGAGCAAGGCUUCAGUCGUUCAUGAAAUUAGUGGAAGACAUCCCCUGCAAAAUUUCCCUCAGGGAUACAGGAACAGACCAGAGAUGGUAGCUGAUUUCUUUCUUAAAACUAAAAUGCUUUGUGUUACCAUGUGUAAGAAGUGAGGCAACAAAGACAGGAUAGAAUCAUGGCUGAGUAAGAAGGAAAUGCACAGGCAGCAGGUGCAGGUACAUGAACCCUGAAAAAGAAAAGACUGUUGUACUCUUUUUCCUUAUUUUUCACUGGCUGUCAUUCUACCUACAUUUGUCAAGUCCCUAAACCUCAAGACAGGGACUGGAUGAACAAUGUCCCAUGGGGUGCAGGCCACAGCUGCUUCACCAUGGUCAUCAGCACAGCCUGCAGGGGAACCUUGGCUCCAGCGCCUGGAGCACCUCCUGCCCCUGCUUCUCCACUGACUGCAGUGUCUCCAUGUUGUUUUCCCUCACAUGUUCUCUCAUCCUCCUCUUUUCUGACUAGAAGGUGAAACCCUGUGACUUUGUUUUGAUUUUCUUCUUAAAUAUGUUAUCACAGAGGUGUUACCAACCUCUCUCGUUGGCCAGCUUUGGCCAGCAGCAUGUCUAUCUUCAGAGCCAUCAGGGACUGGCUCUGCUGGACAUGGGGGAAGCUUCUAGAAGCUUCCCACAGGAGCUUUCUUUGUGGCCCCCCUGUUACCCCAAACCAGGCCUUGCCAAACCAAUGCAAUCUUCCACAUAAAUGGAAGGGAGAUGGUGAUCUCUUCUUUGGUGUCCAGUGAAAAAACCCAUAGCAUAGGGAAGAACUUUACUGUAAAGGUGAUGAGGCACUGGAAGUGGUUGUCCAGAGAACCUGUGAAUGCCCCAUGCCUCAAUGCUUCAAGACCAGCCUGGAUGAGCUCUGAGCAACCUGGUCUAGUGGAAGAUGUCCCAACCCAUGGUGAAGGAAUUUGAACAAGAUGGUGUUUAAUGCAAACAAGCCACUCUGGGAUUCUUUGGUCUCAUGAUUCUGUUGUUUGAUUAUUUGAAGACUUUAGUUAACGUAUUUCCAUCAUUCUUCAUUAACCCAGGAUUUACUUGUCCCUUAGAAAGCCAAAGCAACACUAGGAAUUAUGCCAGAAAGGAGACAUCACAAACUGCCCCUCUUCCAUAAUGAAGGAGGCAGGAUCCCAUUAGCAUGGAAUGUUUGAAGAUGAUGUGAAAAUUGCUCUUUCUUGAAAAUAGAUCUACCAGUGCAGACAUCCACUUGCACUCUGACACCUAAAAAAGGAGUCCAUGCAUUGCUUGUGGUCUCUGAAGAAAGAUACACAAUUUUUUUCAGACAGAUUAAAAUCAUCCUCUCUAUGCAAAGCCUUAGAAAUGCAUUUAAAUUUUAAAACAACAACACAUCUUUCUCUUUUUUGUCAUAUAUUUACUUUUUUCCCAGUUUAUUUCCUUUAUAUGUUACUGAUAUUUAUGUGUCAAAAGAUUCCCUCUGGACACAUCUCCAAUCACCUUAUGAAAAUAGCAGAAGAAAGUGCUGGAACCUGGCAUAUGUCCUUUAGGUUAUGCUUAGAUGUUUGCAGAGGUCAUUUUCUCUUAAGUGAACAGUGAUCACUUACGGAGAAGGACAGCAAGCCACUGAGUGAAUUUGGAAUUUGUCAGGGGUGUGAAGUCCAACAACAUGCCACCAAAACUAAAUUUCUUCUGGCUUACAUGAAAAAAACUGAGCAAGAUAUGUGAACCUAUGUGAGAACCUCAUGCAUGAUACGCUUAUUUGUCUUGCUAGUAGACUCAGGUUUCCAGAAAUUGAGUCCUUUCUUUUGAUCUCAGAGCAGAUGCAAGAAAAUUUUUUUGCCUUGGUCCAUUAUUCUUCUGAGGUAAUUGAACAUAGUAUUGCUGGAGCCAACCAGGUUGUUUUUCAUCCAGUUUCUAACAUUGUGGCAGAUGUAGUCAUUCAUAUUAUGUAUCUGGAUUCCUCUUAAGUGAAAGCAAAAAGGUUUAACGCCAUCUUGCAAUCCUUUUUUAUCUCUAAUGUAAACUUAAACCUGCCUAUUUUCAUUUGGAAACACUGAAGUAAAUAACAGCAAAUAUGCAGUUAGUUCUUUUGAUGAAGGAUUGUUUUUCAAAAAUUUAGGGUUCAUGUCUUUCUUGUUUGUUGUAUUUGUCUUAUUUUAAUGAAAUGUAAUCAAGGUGUCUGUCCCUUGUGAGAUACCUAUGCUUAUCUUGUAGGUUUCAGUAUUUGCCCCCUUGUUUUUUCUAGUCCUCCUGGAAAUAGCAAGGCUUCUUUUUUUUUGUAAAAUUUUCUACCAACCUACCUUUUGAUUAGUUUAUAGUGCAAAUUAAUAAAUCAAAAAUAAUAUGAAAUUCAUUCAUUGGCUGGUAAAAGAUCUGCUCUAUUGUAUGAGAAUAAUCAUAUGUCAAUGAAGACUUGGAACAUCUUUCCAAAUACAAUUAAUAUUUGAAGUAUGACAUUAUUCCAAUUUCUUCAAUUACCUUUGGCUUUUUUUGCAAAUUUCUGAAAGUGAAUGAAUGACAUAUAUGUUGUUUCAGCAAUGCUUUUAUAUGAAAAUACUCUGUGCAUUGAUAGCAGGUGUUAUUAUAAAUUCUUGGUACUAAAUUCCUCAGUCUGUGUCAGAAUGGUAUUUUCUUUCAUUCAGAUAAAAACACAUCUCCAGACAAUCUCAUGCAGGAGAGUUUUAAAGAAUUCCAUCAUGGCAGCUGAUUAUUAGGGACAAAGUUUAAUCAGGAAUGUCAAUUGUGCAAAUUGGUAGACUGCUACCAGUUACAUUUAUUACAACAAUUCUUGUAACUUUGUCUUCUUUUUCAAAAGUUGGUAAUAAAUAUGUGAUGUAGCCUUAUUCAA